rnacentral:rRNA from 1 species
CGUGGGUGGUGGUGCAUGGCCGUUCUUAGUUGGUGGAGCGAUUUGUCUGGUUAAUUCCGAUAACGAACGAGACUCUGGCAUGCUAACUAGUUACGCGACCCCCGAGCGGUCGGCGUCCCCCAACUUCUUAGAGGGACAAGUGGCGUUCAGCCACCCGAGAUUGAGCAAUAACAGGUCUGUGAUGCCCUUAGAUGUCCGGGGCUGCACGCGCGCUACACUGACUGGCUCAGCGUGUGCCUACCCUACGCCGGCAGGCGCGGGUAACCCGUUGAACCCCAUUCGUGAUGGGGAUCGGGGAUUGCAAUUAUUCCCCAUGAACGAGGAAUUCCCAGUAAGUGCGGGUCAUAAGCUUGCGUUGAUUAAGUCCCUGCCCUUUGUACACACCGC